rnacentral:rRNA from 1 species
AAAAAGUGAAAUUAUGAAAUAGUAGAAUUAAUAGCAAAAUAUUUUUGGACAGAAACAAUUACAUGACUUUGAAAAAUCACCAAAAAUGGUGGAAAUCGAAUUAGAGAGUGAAUAAAAUAUGAAAUGAAAGGCUAAUGAGUCUAUUUUUACAUAAAAGAAACAGAGUAAGCAAAAGAGUUAUAUAUUUUGAGAUAUUUUAAGUUUAGUGAGAUAGAGUCAGAAUGAAUUUGGAAUAUCCUGUUCUAACUUUGGAAAAUUGUUAAAAAUUGUACAAAAAUAAUUACGGGAUAAACUUUAUAUUUUUAGAACCCUGAAUGAGUCUAUUUUCAAGUGAAAUAAACGUAAGUACCAUCCAAAUUCUGUAAAAUGAGAUAAUUAAUUUUUAGUGAAGAGAUGAGCAAUGAAAUAGGGGAAAAUUUAAAGAAUAAACUGUACUUAUUGGCUAAGCCAAAAAUUCUAAAAAUUUUAUAGUAAUGCCUUGUACCCUAUUUCGGCGUCGAAUACGGGUAAGGGGUGUUACAAUGUGACAUCGUCAGAUUCGGCCAUAACGUUUAGGUCGGGUUUGGGGUGCUACAACGAGAGCGGGACCAAAUUGAGGCAAACUCUGAAUACUAGAUAUGACCUCAAAAUAAUAGAGGUCGAGGUCGGCCAAUGAGACGGUGGGGGAUAAGCUUCAUCGUCGAGAGGGAAACAACCCCGAUCACCAGCUAAAGCCUCUAAAUGACUGCUCAAUAAUAAAAGAGGUAGGGGUGCAUGAGCGAAAGUAGACGAAGUGGAAGUAAGAAUGUUGGAUUGAGUAAUGCAAACAUUGGUGAGAAUUCAAUGCCCCGAAAACCCAAGGUUUCUUUCUCAACGUUCGUCCAUGGAAGGUGAGUUAGGGCCAAAUAUCAUGUUGAAAGGCGUAGUUGAUGGACAACAGGUGAAUAUUUCUAUACUACCCCUUGUUGGUCCCGAGGGAUGGAGAAGGCUAGGUUAGCCGAAAGAUGGUUAUCGAUUCAAGGACGCAAGAUGCCCCUACUUUUUCAAGGUAAGAAGGGGUAGAGAAAAUGCCCUGAGCCAAUGUUCAAGUACCAAGUGUUACGGCGUUGAAGUAACCCAUGCUAUACUCCUAGAAAAAGCUCAAACGACCUUCAACAAAAGGUUACAUGUACCCAAAACUGACAUAGGUGGGUAGGUAGAGAAUACCUAAGGGCGCGAGAUAACUCUCUCUAAGGAACUUGACAAAAUAGCCCUGUAACUUUGGGAGAAAGGGUACCUCCUCACAAAAGGGGUCACAGUGACCAGGCUUGGGCAACUGUUUACCAAAAACACAAGUCUCUAGGAAGUCGUAAGACCAUGUAUGGGGGCUUACGCCUUCCCAGUACUGGAAGGUCAAGGAAGUUAGUGACCUGAUGACAGGGGAGCCGGUGACCAAAGUCUUGGUGAACAACAGUCGUAACUAUAACGAUCCUAAGGUAGCGAAAUUUCUUGUCGGGUAAGUUCUGACCCGCACGAAAGGCGUAACGAUCUAGGCACUGUCUCGAAAAGAGGCUUAGUGAACUAAACAUGUUUAUGAAGAUGCAGACUACUCGCAGUGGACAGAAAGACCCUAUGAAGCUUCACUGUUCCUUGGGAUUGGCUUUGAGCUUUUCCGACACAGCUUACGUAGAAGGCGAAGAAGGUCUCCUUCCAGGGGGCUCGAGCCAUCACUGAGAUACGACUCUAAAAGAGCUAGAAUUAUAACCAUUUUUCAGGACCUACGAGCCAAGGGACAGUCUUAAGUAGACAGUUUUUAUGGGGUGUAGGCUUCCCGAAAGGUAACAGAUGCGUGCAAAGGUUUCCUCGGGCCAGACGGAGAUUGGCCAUUGAGUACAAAGGCAGAAGGGAGCUUGAUUGCAAGAACCACUCGUCAAGCAGGGGAGAAAGUCAGCCUUAGUGAUCUGACAGUGCCGAGUGGAUGGGUCGUCACUCAACGGAUAAAAGUUACUUUAGGGAUAACAGGCUGAUCUUCCCCAAGAGCUCACAUCGACGGAAGGUUGGCACCUCAAUGUCUGUUCUUCACCACUUGGGGCUGUAGUAUAUUCCAAGGGUUGGGUUGUUCGCCCAUUAAGAGUUUAAAAUGUUUUAUUUUGUUAGAGUUUAAUGUUGUACAAAGUUUUGUCUUUAAUUUUUAAAAAUUAAGUGUAGCCUUUAAUCUUAUGUUGUUAGUUAAAAGAGUAAGCAAUCCCACAUUAUCUAGGAACAAGCUGUAAAUGGAUUAUGAGUCAAUAUAUACUCAUAUCCCACAUCCCACAUUGCUUAAGAAAACAAAGGAAAUGGGACCUAGGGUCUAUAUAAAGACUUGUUUUUGUAAGUUUUGUUUUCAUAAGAAGUGGCACCAAAAAAAAAUUUAAAAAAAUAUUGGGCAGAAAACGCUUCUAGCUAGAGCAUUUCCUUCAAAUCACCUGAAAAUGCUUUUAGU